GAUGAACGCUGGCGGCGUGCCUAAUACAUGCAAGUCGAGCGAACAGACGAGGAGCUUGCUCCUCUGACGUUAGCGGCGGACGGGUGAGUAACACGUGGAUAACCUACCUCUACGACUGGGAUACCUUCGGGAAACCGGAGCUACUACCGGAUAAUAUAUUGAACCGCAUGGUUCAAUAGUUAAAGACGGUUUUGCUGUCACUUAUAGCUGGAUCCGCGCCGCAUUAGCUAGUUGGUAAGGUACCGGCUUACCAAGGCAACGAUGCGUAGCCGACCUGAGAGGGUGAUCGGCCACACUGGAACUGAGACACGGUCCAGACUCCUACGGGAGGCAGCAGUAGGGAAUCUUCCGCAAUGGGCGAAAGCCGGACGGAGCAACGCCGCGGGAGUGAUGAAGGUCUUCGGAUCGUAAAACUCUGUUAUUAGGGAAGAACAAAUGUGUAAGUAACUAUGCACGUCUUGACGGUACCUAAUCAGAAAGCCACGGCUAACUACGUG
rnacentral:rRNA from 1 species